UGAUCACUGCUCUCUCUCUCUAGUGACUGAGAAAACAGGACUUCACUAUGGAAUGGAGCCAUAUCAUUCUCUUUCUGGGGGCAGCAUGUACAUAUGUCCACUCUGAAGUUCAGCUGCAGCAGUCUGGGGCCGAGCUGGUGAAGCCUGGGGCUUCAGUGAAGCUGUCCUGCAAGGCUUCUGGCUAUACCUUCACCGAGUACUAUAUGCACUGGGUGAAGCAGAGACCUGGGCAGGGCCUGGAAUGGAUUGGACGGAUUUAUCCUGGAGAUGGUGAUACUGACUACAAUGAGAAGUUCAAGGGCAAGGCCACACUGACUGUAGACACAUCGUCCAGCACAGCCUACAUGCAGCUCAGCAGCCUGACAUCUGAGGACUCUGCCAUCUAUUACUGUGCAAGACACUGUGUUGAAACCACAUCCUGA